rnacentral:rRNA from 1 species
UACGUAGGGGGCAAGCGUUGUCCGGCUUUAUUGGGCGUAAAGAGCGUGUAGGCGGCCUGACAGGUCUGCUGUGAAAACUCGAGGCUCAACCUCGAGAUGUCGGCGGAAACCGUCUGGCUAGAGUCCGGAAGAGGAGAGUGGAAUUCCUGGUGUAGCGGUGAAAUGCGCAGAUAUCAGGAAGAACACCUAUGGCGAAGGCAGCUCUCUGGGACGGUACUGACGCUGAGACGCGAAAGCGUGGGGAGCGAACAGG